GGCAGAGUGUCACGUGCCUUCCUUUUGGCCCGGCACUACUGGAAGGGACCCGAAAUCCACGUUGCUUUCUUUGACACAAACACUGGCUGCUGCCGCCCCGGGACUCACUCUUUCUGUCACUGUGUCCCUCACACAGAGAAAAUUAGCAAAAGCAACCUUUCUCGUAGGAGCUUGUCUUAUACAUAAGGAACACCGUGGCCCUAGAUCGUACGGACGUGAGAGGCCAGAGGAUCAAGAAUACAGCACCCCAAAACUACCCUCUUUGGAAUAAAGUGAGCUAAAGGUGACAAUCAAGACCAGAAAAAGCUUUACAGUCGGAGCCUGUUACCCUUCCGUAAAGACAGCUUGACUUAUGAGGACACUCCCAGGGGACGGACGGAUGGCUCAGCAGUUACAGGUCUAGUUCCCAGCACUCGUGGUGGCUCACAAUCAUCUGUACCUCCAUUUCUGAGGACCCAACAACCACUUCUGGCUUCCGCUAACACCAGGAACGUUCGUGACGAACACACACCCGUGCAGAAGGAAGAUUCUGAUUGGUUCUUGAGGAUGGAGCUUGACCUCUAACCGCUGAAGUCCGCUAAACAGCAAACCAGCAAUCCCGCCCAUACAGCAGCAACCUAGAAGUGUUCCCUGGAGCAUUCUUCCCUAGCAGUGGCUGAGAGCAAUGCGAAGCAAAGCAAAGGAGCCAAGGCAC